AAUAGAUACCCGGGUAGUCCACGCCGUAAACGAUGAGUGCUAAGUGUUAGGGGGUUUCCGCCCCUUAGUGCUGCAGCUAACGCAUUAAGCACUCCGCCUGGGGAGUACGGUCGCAAGACUGAAACUCAAAGGAAUUGACGGGGGCCCGCACAAGCGGUGGAGCAUGUGGUUUAAUUCGAAGCAACGCGAAGAGCCUUACCAGGUCUUGACAUCCCAUUGACCACUAUGGAGACAUAGUUUUCCCUUCGGGGACAACGGUGACAGGUGGUGCAUGGUUGUCGUCAGCUCGUGUCGUGAGAUGUUGGGUUAAGUCCCGCAACGAGCGCAACCCUUGUUCUUAGUUGCCAUCAUUUAGUUGGGCACUCUAAGGAGACUGCCGGUGACAAACCGGAGGAAGGUGGGGAUGACGUCAAAUCAUCAUGUCCCUUAUGACCUGGGCUACACACGUGCUACAAUGGACGGUACAAACGGUUGCCAACCCGGCGAGGGGGAGCUAAUCCGAUAAAACCGUUCUCAGUUCGGAUUGUAGGCUGCAACUCGCCUACA
rnacentral:rRNA from 1 species